rnacentral:rRNA from 1 species
UAGUCCACGCCGUAAACGAUGGUCACUCGCUGUUGGCGAUAUAAUGUCAGUGGCUGAGCGAAAGCAUUAAGUGACCCACCUGGGGAGUACGUUCGCAAGAAUGAAACUCAAAGGAAUUGACGGGGGCCCGCACAAGCGGUGGAGCAUGUGGUUUAAUUCGAUGAUACGCGAGGAACCUUACCAGGGCUUAAAUGUAGAGUGACAGGUCUGGAAACAGAUCCUUCUUCGGACUCUCUACAAGGUGCUGCAUGGUUGUCGUCAGCUCGUGCUGUGAAGUGUCGGGUUAAGUCCCAUAACGAGCGCAACCCCUAUCGUUAGUUGCCAUCAGGUUAAGCUGGGGACUCCAACGAAACUGCCUGGGUAACCAGAGAGGAAGGUGGGGAUGACGUCAAAUCAGCACGGCCCUUACGUCCAGGGCUACACACGUGUUACAAUGGCAUAGACAGAGGGCAGCUACUUGGCAACAAGAUGCGAAUCUCGAAACUAUGUCUCAGUUCGG